GUUGGAAGACGUGGAAUAUAUCAGGGUGUAAUUCUUAACAUGCACUUGCACUGGAAGAAACAUCAAACCUUGAAGGUGGUGGUGAAGACAUUCUCACCGGAGGAAUUGCUGCUGAGCUGGCACGUUUAACUGGAGGGAUUGUACUAGAUAUUCAUGAAGAAAACACGAUAAUCAUGUAUAGAGGAAAGAAUUAUUCCCAGCCGCCAACAGAGAUAAUGUCACCUAGGGUCACCCUGUCCAGAAAGAAGGCUUUGGAUAAAUCAAAGUACAGGGAUGGCCUUAGGGCUGUUAGGAGAUAUAUUCCAAGACUUGAACAGGACCUUGAAUUGCUUAAAGCACAGACUAAAGGCAAAGCUGAAAGUGGAACUGUUUCGGUUGAAGAAACCCAGAAG
rnacentral:misc_RNA from 1 species